CCUGGCUAAGCAUGGGAGUACACCAACACCCUCCACCCUCUCCCUCCAUUUAUCUGGCCCUGUGGGACCGGGUCUGCCACAGUCUCUCUCUGACCUCUCAGCUCCCAGAUGGAACACAAUGGGUCAACAGGGAGAAGACCUGGAGAGACCAGCAUAUACCUCACCCUAGCCACUGUAUCAAGACACACUUCAAAAAGUAGUAUGUUGCACUGAUUAAGCGGAUAGAAGAUCUUACAGACGCAUCACCAUCGUGAGGCAAGAGUUCUCAGUUGUCUUGAAAGCUCCAUAAAGAGAAUGAAAGAAUGAAAGAUUUGAUGACAAAACUUUCCCACAAAGGACCGCCUCGCCACCUUGCUGUUCAAGUCAGCACAGCACAACAAGGUCAUCAGGCUGCUGAUUGUCCCACACACCUGUCACCAUCGUCUUGCGCACCUGCGCCUCA